rnacentral:pre_miRNA from 1 species
GUUUAUGAGGGUAUGGUGUUCAGCGCCAAGGACAAAGUUGUUAAGCUAUGUGUGGAUAGUGUUCAGCACCAAGGACAGGUUUAUUUGCCU